UUGACACUGAACAUUGUAAAGUUCUGGUCUCCAUUUGUUAAAGUACAUGGAGGCCCUGGAUUUGCUACCAGAACUGUGAGGAUAUAUUGUUCAGGAAAGAAUGAGCCGACUGGAAGAAAAGAAGAUGAAAGAUGAAAGAGUGUAACUGCAAGAAGAUUACCUCAGCAAUCCCUUUGUCAGCUUUGGGAGAUGGGUUGUCGGAGGAAAGCAGAGCACCCAGAGAAACCCACAGAGUCACUGGAAGAACAUGGACAGUUAGGAUUGAACUCAGCUGCCUGGAGUUGGGAAGUGUUGCCU